UGACUUAUCAUAUGACGGUACAUACCUACGAAUGUUUCUAUGUUCACUAUCAGAUGUCACUGCGUUACAAUUUAACGUUUAAUAAAACAUUAACUGGUCGAUGACACAACAUUACACAUUAGUCAUUGUUACUUCUGUACUAUUAGAGGGAAGUUGUAUCAUUUUACACAGGAUUACCAAGAUUAUUACAACAGAUUAAUAGAACUUGUUUUAACAUGUCUAACAGGAUGUACUCAUCUGGCCAAACAUUUGAACCAUUUUUCCUAACAGUCAUCAAAUUUUGUUCACAGCAGAAGCAAUUUUAUUUUCUGAAGUAUGAGGUCGUAUAACACGCAAUAAUGCGUUUGGUGUUCCUAUGCCUGUAUGAUUACCGCAAACCUUUUAAUUACACAUUUUUAUGUUAUUCACAAUGCGAAUAAUACUACUAAGGACGUUUAUAAUGAGAAUAGCAUUAAAAAUAUAUGUAUCUCAAUUACGUGUAUCGAGAAAAGAAUUUUUCCAACAACCGCCUUCUAUUUGAGUCAUAAGAACUUGACGAGUGGGAAUAGUUACUUAAUGACGCACCGAGGCGUUUUAUCUCGGAGUCAUUUCCGUGGGAUGCCACAAUAUCCUUCAAAGUUGUCAGUACCGUGGCGCUUCGCUCGUUACAAACAAAAUUGACAUAAAGAACGAAGCAAUGAUACUUUGUACGGUGCUACUUCUUUCGAAUUUAUUGUACACGUUUGUUUCUUGCGAAUACAAAGAUACGGAAACUCUUUGCGCCUCUCAACAGACAUGCGGAAAGUGCCUACAGACUCCUCGAUGUGUUUGGUGCUCUACCACGGUGUCCGAUCAGAAUGCCACUGGUUCUUUGGUUCGUUGCGUCACCAGAGAAAAAUUUUUAAAGGAAGGUGAUCUUUGGUGUCGGGCUACUGACGUAAUAGAUGAGGCGAGUUCGAUACGCGUACUCGAAAAUCGACCGCUAUCCUCGAAAACUAGGGUCCCUGUUCAAAUUCAACCUCAGAGAAUGAAAUUAACACUCAGACGAGGCGAAGAGUAUCGUUUUACCCUGCGGUAUAGCCAGGCAGAAGAUUAUCCAGUGGAUUUGUAUUAUCUCAUGGAUUUAUCCGCAUCCAUGGAAUCGUACAGAGAUCAAUUAUCAGAACUAGGACUUCGAUUGGCUGAGGCGAUGAGGAAGCUCACCUCAAAUUUUCGUUUAGGAUUCGGUAGUUUUGUCGAUAAGGUUGUACUGCCAAUGACCAGCACACAGCCAGACAAGUUGAAAUCACCGUGCGAGUUGAAAACCAGGAAACCGUGCGCACCGCCGUACGGGUACAAAAAUCAGAUGCCUCUAACCGAGAACGUUGCUCUGUUCAAAAACCGAGUACAAGAGGCGCCAGUGUCCGGCAAUCUUGACUCACCGGAGGGUGGUCUGGACGCGAUGAUGCAGGUCAUGAUUUGUACUAAGGAAAUCGGUUGGCGACAGAACGCUCGACAUCUUAUCGUCUUCUCUACGGAUGCCAGCUUUCACAUAGCCGGGAACGGUAGACUAGCGGGGAUUAUCGAACCCAACGAUUGUCUUUGCCACUUGGACAAGGAUGGAUUUUACUCGUACUCGCUUUAUCAAGACUAUCCAUCCAUCGCACAAAUUAAUAAGGUAGCGCGAGAGCACAAUAUGAACAUUUUCUUCGCGGUUCCGAGCAAGAUGAACGCGACGUAUCAGCUGCUAAGCGAAAGCAUUAAAGGUUCUUCCAUUGGAAUGCUCGAGCAUGAUUCUCAAAACGUAGUCGCAUUGGUCAGCGGGGAAUACGAGAAACUAGUGAACUCUAUAACGAUGACAGAUGAUGCUCCAAAAAUGAUCGAUGUUAAAUAUUUUUCUCGAUGUUUGGAAGAAAACGGCGAGUUGAAGGAACGAAGAGAAUGCGGAGGAUUACGAGUAGGAAACAUCGUUGAAUUCGAAGUGGUGUUGCGGGUAAUUGCGGUCGAAUGUCCAGCGAAUUCCAACGAGUGGCAGCAUAACAUGCAAAUAAAACCGAGAGGCAUAAACGAGAGUCUGACGAUCGACCUGAGCAUUAUAUGUGAUUGUCCGUGCGCUCGGCCAGGACAUCCGGGAUACGCGGUUGCUUCGAACGAUUGCAAAGGAAAUGGCACCCUGAUUUGCGGUUUAUGCUCCUGCAACGAUGGUUUCUACGGGAAGCAGUGCGAAUGCGAAGGAAGCCAAGCCGGUGUCGAGAGCGCAGCUGCAACGGUUGAUUGUAAACCCAACAAUGAGACCAAUGAAAUUUGUAGCGGUCACGGAGACUGCAAGUGUGGCGUGUGCGAUUGCGCGAAGCGUCCAAACCCGCAAGAACUUUUCUACGGGAAAUACUGCGAAUGCGAUAACUUUUCUUGCAAACGGAGCGGUGGACUGGUUUGCGGCGGGAGAGGCAAGUGCGAGUGCGGUUCUUGUAAUUGCUUGCCAGGAUGGGGUGGUGAAACGUGCGACUGCAAAGAGACCAACACUACGUGUAUACCAGAUAACAGCGAAACCAUGGAUAUUUGCAGUGGACGCGGUGAUUGUAUCUGUGGUGCAUGUAUCUGCCACGAGAAGGACAAUAUUCGAUACUCGGGACAAUACUGCGAAGAGUGUCCUACAUGUCCUGGUCAACGGUGCGAAGAACUGAAGAAAUGCGUGGAAUGCAUGGCGUACAAUUCUGGACCUUUUGCUGGAAACGGAGAGUGCGAUCAGUGUUUGCAUCAAAUCGAUAUCGUGGAGAAGAUCACAGAAGAUCCAAUAAAAGAUCAGGAAAAUGGAGCUCACGUUUGUCGAAUGGCCGACGAUGCAGGAUGCACGUUUGCUUUUAAGUAUUCAUAUUAUAGGGGUGGUACUGGAGGAGACAUCAAGAUAUUCAAGAUUCUUGCUGAGAAAGAAAAAACGUGUCCUAAGCAAGUUAACGUUCUUGGUGUUGCUAUUGGUCUAGUGGUCAGUACUGUAAUUAUCGGUUUUGUGAUUCUCAUCGCUUGGAAAGUGCUAACGACGAUUCAUGACGCACGAGAAUAUGCAAAAUUCGAACGAGAACGAGCUCUUGCAAAAUGGGACAUGGGAGGCAAUCCAUUGUACAAACAGGCUACGUCCACUUUCAGCAAUCCAACGUUCAACGACAGCGAAAAGGAUUAACUAAGAAAUUCUAUGUUCAUAAGAAUUUUCGCGCGUUUGAUUUCUAGUCGAUUCAAGGAUGCGCAACCCGAUAGGUAGCGCCACGGAGGGGCAUAGAUGGCUAACAAAAGAAGACGAAAAGGCUUGAACGCGUUUAGUAUCGAUUAUCAAGAGUAUCGUUUGAAUCUUGUGGAAUCUAGUGCGCUCCUGGAGGCAGGAUAACUCGUAUAUACAGCAGGAUAAUUAAUGGAGCCGGCGAGGCUGCGUUUCCGAAGACAAGUCGACGAGAAACAAAUGUUUGCUCUAUCCUGGAGGGUUCGACUUGGAUGGUAAAAGGUGUACCAGGCGGGGCCACAUCCGAAUUACCCAGACAGGGGACGACCGCCUUGCAGAACGAUUCGCAGAACAACGCAGUGAUAUUGUCAGAAUUCCUGCGUUCACGACUAGGAAGUCAAAGUCAAACGUACCGCUCGAGGGCGUAGUCGCUCCCGACAUAAUCGACGGGGAUGGUUUCGAGAUGACUGUGCGAUUCGAUGAUCGAUUCGAUCGACUGUCCAGCCGGAGGAAGGUAUUUCGUGACUAGCGAGAUCAUCGGUCGUGAAUUACACGCUGCUGGUCAACAUGACGUGCAAGCAGCUACGGAGUGCAUCAAGCGAAGACGGAGUGCAACGAGAAGAUGCAUCGACUCGAAGUUGUAUGCGUGUGACAGCGUGAAUGAAAUGUUGUGCGUGUUACUUUUUCUAAUGUAUUGUAUCAUUUUUAUUAAUAUUCAUACGCGACUCGAUGUAAUGUAUCGAACAUGUAGUGCAUAUGUCACGAUGCAAUUAUUUUUAUAAGUUAUAAUAAGCAGAAUUGUAAAACAUUUAGGAUAGUUAAUAUUUUAUGUCGUUAAUAUGUUAUUAUUACAAGCAAUACGUUAGUUGUAACACAGCGUUAAUUGUACAGCGUAUGUUGCGUUUCGUAUAGUACUGUAAUUAGAUCAGUUAAGAUGUUUUGUGUAGAAAAAAGAUAAAAAUAA